rnacentral:rRNA from 1 species
AGCAGUCGCCCGGGAAUACGUAGGUGGCAAGCGUUGUCCGGAAUUAUUGGGCGUAAAGGGCUCGCAGGCGGUUUCUUAAGUCUGAUGUGAAAGCCCCCGGCUCAACCGGGGAGGGUCAUUGGAAACUGGGAAACUUGAGUGCAGAAGAGGAGAGUGGAAUUCCACGUGUAGCGGUGAAAUGCGUAGAGAUGUGGAGGAACACCAGUGGCGAAGGCGACUCUCUGGUCUGUAACUGACGCUGAGGAGCGAAAGCGUGGGGAGCGAACAGGAUUAGAUACCCCCGUAGUCCCUGUCUCUUAUACA